UACAAAAACCUCAGAAUAGAAACCUGAGAAAAUAAUCCUUCAGUAUGCAGAGAAAAACUGAUAGAAAACCAUGUUUAUUUGAAGAACAUCAGGUUUUUGUUAAUUAAGUCAUUAGAGAUGUAACACUGUGAUGCUGGUUUUGACUACUGGGGAGAUGGAACUGAGGUUACUGUUGUUCCAGGCGGCCCUGAUGUCCCUCCGACUUUGUCUAUUUUGAGUCCCCUGAAGGAUUCUCGCUACCCCCCGAAGACAGCAGAUGAACUUGGUCCAGAUGUCUGUCUGGUCACAGAUUUCAGUCCGAAGGGGGACAACAUAAAUCUGAAUGUGAAAGGUGGUCAGGUCAACGUCAGCACAGAUAAUGCUGUUCUGUCAAACAACACCUACGUGUUUGUUGCCUACAGCAAUGAAACCAUCCACUCCUGUGACAUGAAUGGAAAGUUCAGCAACAACGAAGCUGAUUAUGCAUGUAGAAGCAUUUAUCCAGAAAAAGCCAAGCUGAACUUCUACCUGCUGCUGAUGAACGGAGUCCGGGUGGUUUUCACCAAAGCUCUGGCCUUCAGCACCGUCCUCACUAUCAGAGGUCUGCUCUUCUGAGGACAAAAUACCUGGAAAA